GACGAGAAGACCCCGUGAAGUUGUUAACUAAGUGGCARAAAUUUCUUACCACUUUUGUUGUUGGCUGGGGCAGCWAAAGAGSAAGAUCARACUCUUUCUUUUCUUUGUUUGAUAGACKAUCCACUUACUUUAUUUAGUGRUUAACAGAAGAAGUUACUCCGGGGAUAACAGCGUUAUUUUCUUUGAUAGUUCUUAUAGAUGAGAAAGUUUGCCACCUCGAUGU
rnacentral:rRNA from 1 species